UUCCAUUUGUACAGGGGUAACCCACUGUAUUAAAUAUGUAAGGUCUUAUCUACAUGGGUUUGAUUACAGAAACUAAUAAAGUAUUCUCUAAAU